AACCUGUCGUCGGGACGGGGACAACGCCGGGAAACUGGCGAUAAUCCCCGAUAGGUGGGGGACGCUGGAAUGCCUCCUCGCCUAAAGCUCCGGCGCCCGAGGAUGGGACUGCGGCCUAUCAGGCUGUUGGUGGUGUAACGGACCACCAAACCGACAACGGGUACGGGCGAUGUGAGUCGGAGCCCGGAGAUGGGGACUGAGACAAGGCCCCAGGCCCUACGGGGCGCAGCAGGCGCGAAAACUCCGCAAUGCGCGAAAGCGUGACGGGGGAAUCCCAAGUGCCGUUGGUCUAUUGAUCGGCGGCUUUUCGAGAGUCUAAAUAGCUCUUGGAAUAAGGGCUGGGCAAGUCUGGUGCCAGCCGCCGCGGUAACACCAGCAGCCCAAGUGGUGAUCGUUAUUAUUGGGUUUAAAACGUCCGUAGCUGGUCUAGUAAAUUCCUGGGUAAAUCGAAUUGCUUAACAAUUCGAAUUCCGGGUAGACUGCUAGACUUGGGACCGGAAGAGGUCAGAAGUACUUCUGGGGUAGGGGUAAAAUCCUGUAAUCCUGGAGGGACUA
rnacentral:rRNA from 1 species